rnacentral:ncRNA from 2 species
CUGAAUCUCUUUGGGGAGUAGCCGGUCGCUGGUGUGUCUGUUGUCGCCCAGCGGCGUGCGUGUCAACACACUCGGCCCUGGCCGUGGCACGCACACCGAUGUCGGUUGGCGAGACCAUUGACACCCGCGACGCAGAGUCGGGCCUGGCGGGUGUCGUGGUGCAACCACCGGC